CCAGUGCAGACUUCCCCGUGCACGCACUAUUAUUGCCAGCAGCCUACCACAUCAGCUCCUUUCCUCUCCGGGGCGACCGCAGGAGGGAGGACAGCUAUCGGCUCCACUAUUGAGGCAGAAAAACUGAGGCUCAGGUUCAUACAGCUAAGGAAAAGACAGAGCAGAACCCAGCCUCAGGACGACCAGACUCUAAACCCCCCAAGCCCCAAAAUAUAUACAUGUAUGUAUUUUUUUAAUAGGCUCCACGCCCGACACGGAACCCGGUUUGGGGCUUGAAUUCAUGAUACUGAGAUCAGGAACUGAGUCGAGAUCAAGCAUCGGACGCGUAACCAACUGAGCCCCCCAGGCACCCCUAAAAGCACAAACUUUCAUCUACUGAGCCAUAGUGCCUCUCAUAUGCUACUAUAAUCACGUGUAGCAUGUCCUAUGGCUCCAGAAGAGGGACGGUCUGCAAAAAGACUGAAGAGGAAGGAUUUGGAUGGGCAAACCCCUCCUCAUUAUCUUUCCCAGAAAACUGUUCUUGGGAGUGGCUGUCUACUGGGGAUGGACAAACAGAAUUUCUGGAUCUACGGAGCUGACAACUCGCCGCUGAACGGCUCUGGAAGGGAUUAUGACCUGGGAGGUCUUGAGUGAAGAACCAGGAGCAUUUCAGAUGGAAAGGGAAGUGGGUGGAGGGGGGGCUUUGAAGUUCAUAUAGCAAAAAAUAUACAUAUUUUUAAGAUUUUA